AACGUAGGUGGCAAGCGUUAUCCGGAAUUACUGGGCGUAAAGGGUGUGCAGGCGGGGGAACAAGUGGUGUAUGAAAUCUCCCAGCUUAACUGGGAUAGGUUAUGCCAGACUGUUCUUCUAGAGGACGAGAGAGGGGGGUGGAAUUCCGGGUGUAGUGGUGAAAUGCGUAGAGAGUCCGGAGGAACCCCAGAGGCGAAGGCGGCCCCCUGGCUCGUACCUGACGCUCAGCCACGAAAGCAUGGGGAGCGAACGGG
rnacentral:rRNA from 1 species